UUGGAGCUCCGGCUUCAUGACAGUUGCAUAUGGUGGAAAGACCUGGAGCUUUAGUUUCCCCAGCUGUAAAAUCGGGAUACUAAUACUUUACAGAAUUGCCUAGACAAGUGCUUCUCAUCCUUGGUCGUAAUCAAAGUUACCUGGGGAGCAAGAAAAACCACUGAUGCCUGGUCCUGUCCCCAGGGAUUCUGACUUCAUUGUUCUGGGGUGCAGCCUGGGCAUCAGGAGUUUUAAAAUUUCCCCUAGAGAUUCUAGAGCGAAGGCAAGGUUGAGAACCCCUGGUUUCGAUGGUACCUAGAGCCUAUGAGCUUUUCACAGGCCUCUGAAGAUAUCUGAGACCUGAAUGGAAAAGUUGAUCGGUUCCAUGAAUUCAGCCAGACACAAAAUGAGUAUGAACUCUAUGAUUGCAUGUAUAACACGUUCUAAUACAGGCAAAACUAAUCUAUGGUGUUAGCAGUCAGGAUAGCAGCUGCCCUGGGGUUGGGGGGCAGCGAGUGGAAGGGGGCCUGGGGGCUUCUGGGGACUCCUGAUGAGCUGUUUCUCCAUCAGUUACAUAGGUGUGCUCACGUUCAGAGCAUUCAUGGAGUUGUACAAUUAAGAUUUGCAUAUUUUCUACAAGUAUGAUACACUUCAAUGAAAUUUACCAAGAAAGUUCAUUGGCUUCAAAAUAGGAAAAGCACAAAACUGAAAUUAAUGUUUUAUUACAUAUCUACAAAAUGUAACAUUGUCAAACAGUCAACUGCAAUUUAACUCGAGUUGUGUGUGUGUGUGUGUGUGUGUGUGUGUGUGUGUGAUUUAGUGCGGGUUGCGGAUGUAUAUGGAAAUGUUUGAUAUGAUGAGGGGUGGGGCACUUAAAAAAGAAGGUUCCUGGUACCUAAGAAAAUCUUAGAACAGCCCAGGUUUAUGCCAGGAGCUCUUAAUCUUGACCCCUUGCCCUUGUAUGCAGAACGAUGUACCUUUAACUGGGGAAGAGAAUCCACAGCUUUCAGCAGAUUCUCAAAGGGGUAUGUGACCCCCACCAAAAGGUUAAGAACAACUGGUUUUGAGGAGCCGGUGAGAAGCUGGCCACGAAUGUGCCUGGCAUGAAAUAGGUGUUCUUUCCCUCCUUUCAAAGUCCAGCCUUCCGAGGUUUCCACAGAACCCUUCUCAGGCGACUUUGGGAGGAUUUAUUCUCCUGGCGGCACUGAGAGCAGAUUGUGCUGUACUCACAGCUCUUCCUCUAAGAGGCUAUUUAAAGGGCCUGUCACUUCAGCAUCUGCUGGACAGCAGAACUUAGCGUCCCAGAGCUGCACAGGGACUCGUGGUUUUGACAGGGAUGAUGGAGGAGGUGGAAGGGUAUGGAGGGGGUCAGAAAGCUGUACCGGUCCGCAGACCCCUGGUCAAUUGCUUAACCACACUGAGUCUUAGCUUGUCAUUUGCAGAAUGAGAGCGUUGUGAGAAGGCAUCGUUGUAAAUGAUAAUCUGUUUCUCCAAUGUAAGGUAUUGUUAUUGCUGGAGUUACGCUAGGAUCUCAUUAUACUGUGGCCUCAGGAUGUAGAUUUAUAGCCAGGUUCCAGAUUCUUGCAUAGAACAAGCAAAAUCCAAGGGUUCACUGAUCCCCUAAUAUAUGCGAGGAGCUCCUGUACAGUAUUAUCCCAUUUUGCUCUUUAACGCUCUUGUGGGUGGUUAUAUUUGAAUUCUCAUUUUAUAGAUGAGGAAAUUAGAUGGUUAAGUGGCUUCACGAGCGCCCACAGCUAGUUAGUGUCGGAGCGAAAGCUUGAACCUAAGUCUCCGAUCCCAAAUCCGUCUCUUAUUCUGUUACUGUGUGUCACAGUUAGACAAAAGGUUCCGUUCUGCCUGGAUUGACUCAUGAAGACAGAUUUCAGGCUCAGAGAGAAGCAUGUGGGCAAAUGCAGACACAGAAAAAUUAGAUUUGCAGGGGCACGAAGGGGCUGGUUAUUUUGGAGUAAUUCAAGUUAUCGAUUUCUGUAAUGGAAAAGUGAUUGCGUACCAGCUACCACCUGAGAGCUGUGCUGAGCAAGGCCCUGGAAGGGGAAAUGUUAUACACAGCUUACAAGACCUUGUGGUGGGGAUGGCCUUCCUCCUGUCCCAGUUCCUCUUGAACUCUUGGUGGGGGGUGGGGAUCUUGUCUUACUUAUUUCUACCACCGCCCUCCCCCACCCCAAGUGCCUGGUGCAGUGCCUCACCCUUGGCAGGUGAACGAGAAGUGCAGCCCAUCACAGGCUGGCAGGAAGAGACAAGAACAUACAGACAUGAGGUCCUCAGGCCCCUGGGGCAACGUGCCACUGAGAAGCAGCUUAGGCAGAUGCAGACACAGACAGGAUGUGCCUGUUGUUAAGGAGAUGCAACAUCAGCCCCUGACGGGACGUGGCUGGGGUCUGGUCCACACCAAAGGAGAGAGGUGAUGGCUGACCCCGGGGAGGGAGAGAAGGGGAGGGACUAGGCUUGCCUCCUGGGCUGAGAGUCUGAGGAGGGGUAUCAUUCUGGAAUCUGCUGGAAGAACCCAGCUGGCUCCCUGAGAAAAAGAAGCGUUCGUCCUCCUGUCUCCACGUGACUCUGGAAUGAUGACCAAGGGUCCUGUUCAGAGGUGGGAAUGGAACCCCUGCUUGAGCUGCAGUCCAGUGGCAGGCGCCGGUCAGGGUGCGAUGCCCAGGCCCUGGGAGGGGGCCGUAGCAGCCAGAGUGACACAAAAUCAAACUCCUGGCCCUCAGAAUGGCCCCUCCCCAGAACAGGGCUGGCAGCUGAGUAGAUGCUUGAAGAGGUCACGUGGGUGAUUCGCAAUUCUGUGCCUGGCGAGGGGCCUCGACACAGGUACUGCCAUUGCUUCUCGCAGCUUGAAUGUCACUGUGGGGAGACUGUCUCAGAUCCUGGGCCUCCAGGGACUCCAUUUCUUCUACCCAACCCACCCCUUGACCCUGGGCAGCGUGAGAGACGGUGCUUUUGUGUAACCAGCCAGCCCGAAUGGAGAAGGGAGAGCACAGGCUGGGGACAGACUGCCCGGACAGACUCCUUCCUCCGUCCGUUCCAGCAGCAUGCGUCUCGGUAAAACUGGGAUGAUUACAGCACUUUCCUCCAGGGAUUGUUGUGAGGAUUCAACAAGUUGAUUCCUAUCUAGUUUAGAGCUGACCCAGACAUGCUGAGCUCACUAAAUGGAAGCUAUUAUCGUCAUUUUAAGGGGUACAUUCCUGGGAAGAGGCGCAUUCUUGGGCAGAGUAAAAAUGGUAUUAUUAUUACAUGGCUUUUCUUGAAAAAUGGGAAGUUCUGGCCACGCUGGCCCAUCUUCCUGCUCUGCUGGAGUAAGGGCUGCCCCCUUCAGCGGCUCCAGCUCUCCAUUUGCAUAAUCCCUUCUAGCCCAUUCCAUUACUUGUCAGCCCCUGAAGGCAUUUGCUAUUUCUGUUACAAACUCAGGUCCAGCAGAAGCGAACAAAGAUUUCAGGAGCCUAAGUGGGGCUAGCAGACAAAGAAAAGACUGAAUUGUCUGUGCUCAGAAGGGAAAGGCAAGGCUUUGGGCGCCCAGGGGCCUCAGGGCAAGAGGAAUUAGAAGAAAGAGUGACGUUGAGCCUGGCUAGCUUGGGUGGGGCUCUGUGCCCACCCAUCCGUGGCUGGUUCAGCACAGACCAGUAAACACACUGGACUGAGGCACUGGGCUUGGAAAGCCUGGGCUCCUGGCCCACUGGGGAGGUCUGUUAUUUGGGGGCAGGUGAUGCUGAGUUGGUUCAGUACCUGCCUGUCCUCUGUAUCUUCAGCCUCGUAUUUCUUCCAACACAAGCAUCUUUGGGUCAGGGAACUUGACGCCCUCAUUGUCACAGUCCUCAUGGGAGGGACCCAGUGCUUGUCACACGGGAGGGAGGCUCUCAAUAAAUGCUUGUUGAAUGAAUAUAUGAACGAAUGCAGAGAGCUAGCUUUCUGGUACAGCAAUCCAAGAAUUUAGCUAGACUUUUUAGAAAGCCUCCGAGUCCCAUUCCCAUCCCAUGCCCUGGGCUCCUCCAUCUGGCUGGAGGAAGGCAAUAUGGGGACAGCAGCCAUGUCACCUUCACUUACCAUUGCAUGCCCAGAGCCUAGCUCAGUACCUGGCACAUAAUAGGUGCUCAACCAAUAUUUGUUGAAAGAGUGAAUGAAUGAAAGAAUGAAUCUAACGGAAAGCCUUCUUACCCUGGAGUCAGGAUACUGCAGUUGUGCUCUUAGCAGCUGGAAGGAUUCUGAACUCCUCUUUUAACUCAUCUGGCCCCACCCACCAAGCAGGGUAAAACCACACAAAUAUACCCAGUUAUGAGAGACUCAGCGUGCAGGAAUUCACGGUUAUUACUCAUAAGGCAUCUUCUGAAGUUCGCUGUCACCUCGGAUCUCCCGAUGUCCUUGUCAGGCUGUCACACUAGCUGUCUUAGCCCUUAUUUCUCGUGUUGUGUGUGCAGCCAAUCAGUGGACACUGUUAUCUUGUUAUUUACCAUUGCAUUUGGAACCAUCACCUCUGUGGGCUUUGGGUUUUACUUAUCUCACUAUCUUAGAUCCACUUGUUCUUUUCUAAAAAGGCAGCAUCUUCCAGAAUGACGAGGGAAUAGCGUGAAUGGGGACAGCGCUGUCUGUUACCCCCUGACAAGAUGCGGUGGUGGCACAGGGCUCCGGCUUUGGCUCGGGGACCAGCUGGCUCGUGACCUUGGGCAGAUCACUUCAUCUCUCUGGAGCCUCAUCUCUGGGGCCCUUUCAGAUCUUUAAUUCCAUGUCAACACACAGGAGUGGGCUUCCCAGAAGUGGAGCGAUUUUUAAGUGGGUGUAUCUUUUCUGUGAAACUGUAGCUGUUUUUAUUUUAAAAUUUUUCAUUUAAGCUCCUAUUCCGAGUGUAGAAACAGCACUAGCUAUGAGGAAUUAAUAGUUUGUGAUUUAUGGGGCAUAUUAUUAUUAUAUCAGAAAAUGGUAGUUUUUUUGUUAAAUAUAUUUUUUAAAGGC